GCAGAAUAGUACUACUCACAUUUUUCUCUUGUUGCCAAGCUAACACAGAAAUACACAAAAAUCAUAUGGAAAAAAAGAGCUGAAACUGGGGAUGGAAGCGACCACUGUUGUAGGUGAGAAGUUAUAAAGGUAGGAUACAUGAAGUUAUUUCAUUUAUACCUGUAAGCAACGAUAAACCAUUGAUUAACGAAAGACGAUUCCGAGCGCAGUUCGUCAAUACAUAAGUGCCUUAAUUCUUUUUGAGAUUUUCGUUUAAAUUUGAUUCAAAAACACUUAUUAUAAAAAAAAAAAGUCAUCCGAUGAUUUUGGAAAUUUUAUUACGUCUAAAUAAGUCCAAUAUAAGUAUUAUUACAAAGUUUCAAGUC